AAAAAUCCGCAAUUACUUUUUGGGCAACCCAAUAGUUUAUUCACAGCUUAAUAUUCUGGCGACAGUAGCUAAAAACUAUUUAUAAUUUCCGUACAUUCUGAAUUUUUUGUAUUAGUGUCACCCUGUAUUACUGCCAUCUUGCGAGUUACCACUGGUAACUUCACACAGCCCUUGGAUGAAACGUCCUUUUCUCUAUAUGACAUCUACAUCAGCUGUGUUUUGUCGUUCUGUAGUUGUGUAUUUAUCUAUAUCGCUUACCGUUUAACACCAAACAUUUUGUUGUGUAUAUUUUGUUUGCGAGAUUUUAAGUUUUUAAAAUUUAUAUACUGUGAAUAAUUUGCAUUUCUUGAAACCUUCACUGUCAUUCUCACUAUCCUGCAGCAGUUUACACUCCACCAAACAACUUGUACUUCUUUUACUUUCUGUUGUGCUCUUUUUCCAAAAAUAUCAAAUGUAUUCGCAGCUCAAUAACAAACGCACGUAUCAAUUUAACAGUGCUCAAAAUUUAAGAAUACAUAGUCCACGAACCCUCCUUCCAGAAACCAAUGGUUCCUGAAUAAGAACAACGUCAAAUCCUUCCGCCAUCAGAAGGAUCUUUAGUGCUGCCGAAGCGACCUUUCAAUGGUGUAGAUUUAUCUGCACAAACCGGUUACCCUCGUCUUCUGAAUCCGCCAGGAGUUCAUCCUCACAAAAUUCGUUCUAUCUUGUCAUGAUUUUUCUUAUGCAUCCUGGGUAGUCGACUUUAGAUUAAUCGAUUAAACGACUUCUUGUGUAAAAAAGUCGAAGUCGAUUUUCAAAUAAUCGAAAAAUCAAUAAUAAAGCUGCACAAAGAUACAAGUUUUGCUUUGCUUUUGUUGCUGCUAGUUACUUCUACGAAAGGCAACAUUUGGUAGUAUUAUUGCAUGGUUGAAUCAAUUUGACGAACUUCGGCAGAGGUAUUCAGAUAAUAAUAAUUCGUGCCAUAUCCAAGCAAAAUUUUUUGGAUCUCGUCCUUUUAAGUCGGCCUGGAAGCAGCAAUAGGAAGGUGGCCCUCCGCCGUUACCCCAAAAACACAAAUUAAAAGUGGACCGAUAGAAACAAUAUGGGUAUCAAAUGAAGGUAUU
rnacentral:sRNA from 1 species